GAGUUUGAUCAUGGCUCAGAGCGAACGCUGGCGGCAGGCUUAACACAUGCAAGUCGAGCGCCCCGCAAGGGGGAGCGGCAGACGGGAGAGUAACACGUGGGAACAUACCUUUUGGUUCGGAACAACUGAGGGAAACUUCAGCUAAUACCGGAUAAGCCCUUACGGGGAAAGAUUUAUCGCCGAAAGAUUGGCCCGCGUCUGAUUAGCUAGUUGGUGAGGUAACGGCUCACCAAGGCGACGAUCAGUAGCUGGUCUGAGAGGAUGAUCAGCCUCACUGGGACUGAGACACGGCCCAGACUCCUACGGGAGGCAGCAGUGGGGAAUAUUGGACAAUGGGCGCAAGCCUGAUCCAGCCAUGCCGCGUGAGUGAUGAAGGCCUUAGGGUUGUAAAGCUCUUUUAACGGGGAAGAUAAUGACGGUACCCGUAGAAUAAGCCCCGGCUAACUUCGUGCCAGCAGCCGCCGCGGUAAC
rnacentral:rRNA from 1 species